rnacentral:rRNA from 1 species
UACGUAGGGUGCGAGCGUUAAUCGGAAUUACUGGGCGUAAAGCGUGCGUAGGCGGUCCGCGAAGUCUGAUGUGAAAGCCCCGGGCUCAACCUGGGAACUGCAUUGGAAACUAACGGGCUCGAGUGUGGCAGAGGGGGGUGGAAUUCCACGUGUAGCAGUGAAAUGCGCAGAGAUGUGGAGGAACACCGAUGGCGAAGGCAGCCCCCUGGGCUAACACUGACGCUCAGGCACGAAAGCGUGGGGAGCAAACAGG